rnacentral:rRNA from 1 species
CCUACGGGAGGCUGCAGUGAGGAAUAUUGGUCAAUGGGCGCGAGCCUGAACCAGCCAAGUAGCGUGAAGGAUGACUGCCCCACGGGUUGUAAACUUCUUUUAUAAGGGACUAAAGUGAGGCCCGUGCGCCUUUUUUCAUGUACUUUAUGAUUAAGGAUCGGCUAAAUCCGUGCCAGCAGCCGCGGUAAUACGGAGGAUCCGAGUGUUAUCCGGAUUUAUUGGGGUUAAAGGGUGCGUAGGCGGCAUUGUAAGUCAGCGGUGAAAGUCUAUGGCUCAACCAUCGGAUUGCCGUUGAAACUGGGGGGCUUGAGUAUUGUAGAGGCAGGCGGAAUGCGUGGUGUAGCGGUGAAAUGCUUAGAUAUAACGCAGAACCCCGAUUGCGAAGGCAGACUGCCAGGCCAUGACUGACGCUGAUGCACGAAAGCGUGGGGAUCAAACAGGAUUAGAUACCCCGGUAGUC